rnacentral:rRNA from 1 species
UACGGGGGGGGCAAGCGUUGUUCGGAAUUAUUGGGCGUAAAGAGCGUGUAGGCGGCCCGAUUAGUCCGCUGUGAAAGUCCAGGGCUCAACCCUGGAAUGCCGGUGGAUACUGUCGGGCUAGAGUCCGGAAGGGGCGAGUGGAAUUCCUGGUGUAGCGGUGAAAUGCGCAGAUAUCAGGAGGAACACCAAUGGCGAAGGCAGCUCGCUGGGCCACUACUGACGCUGAGAAGCGAAAGCAUGGGGAGCGAACAGG